UACGUAGGGUGCGAGCGUUGUCCGGAAUUAUUGGGCGUAAAGAGCGUGUAGGCGGUCUGGUAGGUCCGUUGUGAAAACUCGAGGCUCAACCUCGAGACGCCGAUGGAAACCCUCAGACUAGAGUCCGGAAGAGGAGAGUGGAAUUCCUGGUGUAGCGGUGAAAUGCGCAGAUAUCAGGAAGAACACCCGUGGCUAAGGCGGCUCUCUAGUACGUGACUGACGCUGAGACGCGAAAGCGUGGGGAGCGAACAGG
rnacentral:rRNA from 1 species